ACUGUAAACCAUCAGACUGACCCACUGGCUAAGGACUACUACAGUAAACCAUCAGACUGACCCAAUGGCUACGGACUACUACAGUAAACCAUCAGACCGACCCACUGGCUAGGGACUGCUACAGUAAACCAUCAGACUGACCCACAGGCUAGGGACUUCUACUUCUACUCUACCCAUAGGGCGACGGACAAUUGGCUCAGCGUCUUUAGGGUUUGGCUAGGGUAGACCGUCAUUGUAAAUAAGAAUUUGUUCUUAACUGACUUGCCUAGUUAAAUAAAGUUUAAAUUUAAACAAUUUAAUAAAUACAAAUUCAUAUAUAUAUAAUGAUUGGAGAUCGGC
rnacentral:lncRNA from 13 species